UUUUUGGUGGACGUCAAUCAAACACUUUCGACGGGCUCACGGGCUAGCAAAUAUGGCGGACGGAUGUUUCUCUAACUCAUUUUACAACUAGAUCUAAGGAAAAAUGGUUAAAUCAUUUGAUAAUGCCCUUAGGUGGAGAGUAAUUUUCCUCAGGGAGAAAGGUUUCACCUUCGAUGAAAUUGCAGAGACACUGAGCGCCAGCAAGCGCUUUGUUUAUAAGAUCACUCGUUUGUAUAGAAAUACUCGUGGUGUAAGCGAUGCAAGAAAACGGAAGUCGAAGGCUCGCCUCAUAAAUGCUAACGAUUUACUGCUAAUCAGGCGCCUUAUUGAUGAGUACCCGGGACUUUACCUAGAUGAAAUACAAACUUGGCUUGAGCAUUUUACAGGCUGCACAUUCUCUGUUCCUUCCCUUGAUAGAUGUUUGAAGAGGAUGGGGUUGUCAGUGCAAAAGAUGCACAUCGUUACUCGCCAAAGAAACGAGUUCGAACGUGCCACCUACCGAAGAUUUAUUUCGCAAUUCAAACCAAAUCAGCUACUCUUCAUUGACGAGUCAUCGAAGGAUGAAAGAACAAUCCAGAGGAAGUUUGGUCGUGAACUGUGUGGAAAGCGUCUAUCUCAUGUGGGAAAUUUCACACGUGGUACACGUUUCAGUGUUCUUGCUGCUGUGUCUAUGGAUGGCAUAAAGGGUGCACAUGCUAUUGAAGGAGCGUAUGACACUGCAGGCUUUGAAUUUGCAAUGGAAACAUUUGUGGCUCCAUCAAUUGGUUCAUGUGCAAAUGGAGAAGAUUGUUCUGUGGUAGUAAUGGACAACUGUGCCAUACAUAAAUCUGAUCACCUUCUUAGAAUUAUCCGCGAGAGAGGGGACCAUAUUCACCAGAUUUGAACCCAAUAGAAGGAUGCUUUGGUACUGCAAAGAAAUGGAUGCUCAGGCACAGGCAUAUGGCAGAAAGAUACCCCAAAAGAUGUUUUGAAAUGGCACUGUUUAAUCUUUCCUCCGAAGUUUGCAGAAACAAUGUCCUUGACUGUGGAUACGUUUAGCCUGCAUAGAACUCAACAAGAAAUGUAAACUACCCUUUUAUAAUAUGUAUAAUAGGUUAAAAUGUAAGCAGUAUUGGCAGAUCCAAACAUUAACAUUUACAGUACUUGUAGAUGACCUCAAAUGUAAAGUAAAUCACACAAGCAUGUACAGUGA